rnacentral:rRNA from 1 species
UACGGGGGGGGUAAGCGUUGUUCGGAAUUACUGGGCGCAAAGGGCUCGUAGGCGGCCAACUAAGUCAUACGUGAAAUCCCUCAGCUUAACUGGGGAACUGCGUGUGAUACUGGAUGGCUUGGAUUUGGGAGAGGGAUGCGGAAUUCCAGGUGUAGCGGUGAAAUGCGUAGAUAUCUGGAGGAACACCGGUGGCGAAGGCGGCAUCCUGGACCAAUACUGACACUGAGGAGCGAAAGCCAGGGGAGCAAACGGG